rnacentral:misc_RNA from 1 species
GGAAGGAUCAUUACAAAAAAAACAACAACAAAAUAUUUUUCAAAAAAUAUUGAAAAUGAACACGCAAAAACACACUUAAAAUACAAAUCGUUUUUUUUGUUAAACAAAAAAUUUACACAAACUCUAUGCAACGGAUGACUUGGUUUCAUGUUGGUUGAAGAGCGCAGCAAAGUGCGAUUAAUUGAUGUGAAAUGCAAAACUUAUGAAUCAUCAAAAUCUUGAACGCAAAUGGCGAGUUUCUGAAAGGAACUCAAGAAAAAAAGAGAGGGGAUAAAAAAACAAACUUCAAUGAGACAUCUUCGUGCUUUGCGCGCGCAAGGGUCUUGAAAUGCAGUAAGAACUUGGGCUUGAGGCCAGCUUAAAAAAAAAAAAGAGCACGCACACAAAAAAAAACGCACUUUAAACGGUGCGCGAGUGUGGCGCGCGGUUCUUUUUUUUUUUGCGACUUCUGGACGCUCUCGGGAGAAAAAGAUAAAAGAUUCUUUACGGAUUUUUCCCAUUCUCCCGAAGCGGCCUUGGUCGCGAGAUUUUUUCGCUGCUCACACAAUGAAAAGAGUCUCCUUUAAACUCUCCCCCUCUUUCUUUUCUUCAUUACCCGCUGAAUUUAAGCAUAUUAUUAAGCGGAGGAAAAGAAAAUAAACAUGAUACCUCCAGUAGUGGCGAACGAAGAAGGUACAGAUCAAAGGAAAGGGUCUGGCGACAACACAGACGUCAGACCGAUGCUCCUUUCGAGGAAGUGGCAAGGUGGGGCCGAGGGAACCGAAAGUCAGUUGGAAAGCUGCAGCACAGAGGGUGAAACUCCCUUGUCGGUACUCGAUUCACGGCCUCCAAAUCUCUGCUUCCUUUAGAGUCACGUUGAUUGUGAUUUCAGCGUAAAGCAGGAGGUAAAUUUCUCCUAAAUCUAAAUAUGACAUGAAGACCGAUAGCGGAAAAGUACUGCGAAGGAAAGUUGAAAAGAAUGCCGAAAGGCAAGUUAAAAGAACCUGAAAUUGCAUAGAGGGAACCGAAUGGGAGGAGGAGGAGCGCUGCUGUGGUUCACUGCAGUGGCGCGAAAAAGGGCGACGUGUGCGAGAGAAGAAAGGGCUUCACAGGGGGCCACAUACAGUGGCUUGCGCUCUGGGGGUUUCGGAACUGCUCGCGUGCGUCGAGGAAAAAAGGCCUCCAUCGGUGCUCUGGGCGCGCUGCGGUGGCGGAAGUUGCGGGACAAUUGCAUUGUCUCGUGAUUAUUCGCUGUUGCAGACGUGUCCAUCAAUCACUGGGGCUAGCUCUUUUAAAAUUCUCCUCUCUUCAUCCGUCUUGAACACGGAUCAAGGAGUCUUGCAGUAUGAAGAGUAUUUUGGUGUCAGACCAUGAUGCGUAAUGAAAGUAAAUCGGGGGUAGAGGGCGCCGCGAAACGGCACCUGCAUUCCGGCGGGAAUUUGAUUUUUUUGAAGAUUCUCAGCAAAAUUCGUACUGUUAGUACCCGAAAGAUGAUGAGCUAUGCCAGAAUCGGGUGAAGCCUCAUGAAAAUGAGGUGGAGGUCCGACAUCGUGCUGACGUGCAAAUCGCUGGUUGAAUUUUGGUAUAGGGGCGAAAUACUUAUCGAAUCAUUUAGUUGCUGGUUUCUUU